rnacentral:rRNA from 1 species
AUGAACGCUGGCGGCGUGCCUAAUACAUGCAAGUCGAGCGAACGGACGGGAAGCUUGCUUCUCUGAUGUUAGCGGCGGACGGGUGAGUAACACGUGGAUAACCUACCUAUAAGACUGGGAUAACUUCGGGAAACCGUAGCUAAUACCGGAUAAUAUUUUGAACCGCCUGGUUCAAAAGUGAAAGACGGUCUUGCUGUCACUUAUAGAUGGAUCCGCGCUGCAUUAGCUAGUUGGUAAGGUAACGGCUUACCAAGGCAACGAUGCAUAGCCGACCUGAGAGGGUGAUCGGCCACACUGGAACUGAGACACGGUCCAGACUCCUACGGGAGGCAGCAGUAGGGAAUCUUCCGCAAUGGGCGAAAGCCUGACGGAGCAACGCCGCGUGAGUGAUGAAGGUCUUCGGAUCGUAAAACUCUGUUAUUAGGGAAGAACAUAUGUGUAAGUAACUGUGCACAUCUUGACGGUACCUAAUCAGAAAGCCACGGCUAACUACGUG